rnacentral:rRNA from 1 species
CGGGUGACUAAUGUCUGGGGAUCUGCCCGAUAGAGGGGGAUAACCACUGGAAACGGUGGCUAAUACCGCAUAACGUCGCAAGACGAGGGAGGGGGACCUUCUGGCCUCUCUGUAUCGGAUGAACCCAGAUGGGGUUAUCUAGUAGGCGGGGUAACGGCCCACCUAGGCGACGAUCCCUAGCUGGUCUGAGAGGAUGACCCUCCACACUGGAACUGAGACACGGUCCACACUCCUACGGGAGGCAUCAGUGGGGAAUAUUGCACAAUGGGCGCAAGCCUGAUGCAGCCAUGCCGCGUGUAUGAAGAAGGCCUUCGGGUUGUAAAGUACUUUCAACGGGCAGGAAGGCCAUGUGGUUAAUAACCGCAUUGAUUGACGUUACCCGCAGAAGAAGCACCGGCUAACUCCGUGCCAGCAGCCGUGGUAAUACGGAGGGUGCAAGCGUUAAUCGGAAUUACUGGGCGUAAAGCGCACGCAGGCGGUCUGUUAAGUCACAUGUGAAAUCCCCGGGCUUAACCUGGGAACUGCAGUUGAAACUGGCAGGCUUGAGUCUCGUAGAGGGGGGUAGAAUUCCUGG